rnacentral:lncRNA from 1 species
AUAAUAUUAGUUUUAGAGGUGAAAAAACGUGAUCGAUUUAUAGGAAUAAAAAAAAUGAUUUUUCCUUUUAUCUAACUAAAUAAAUAAAAAGAGAAAAAAACAAAAAAAAAUGCCAACUCAUCGAAAACCUAAAAAAAGGUUAAGAUCUUCAAAUAGAAAAGAGCCAAUAAUAUGCAAGUAAUAGUUUAGAAGAAAUGAAUUAUGAUA